UGCACGGAGUGGGAUUUGAACCCACGCACCCAUACGAGUACCAGAACGCCCAAUCCGCUUUCUCGCGGUAAGUGAAUGCUUGAGUCUGGCGCCUUAGACCACUCGGCCAUCCGUGC
rnacentral:tRNA from 1 species